rnacentral:rRNA from 1 species
CACGUAGGGCGCAAGCGUUGUCCGGAAUUAUUGGGCGUAAAGAGCUCGUAGGCGGUCUGUCGCGUCUGCUGUGAAAACUCAGGGCUUAACCCUGAGCUUGCAGUGGGUACGGGCAGACUAGAGUGCGGUAGGGGAGACUGGAAUUCCUGGUGUAGCGGUGAAAUGCGCAGAUAUCAGGAGGAACAUCCGUGGCGAAGGCGGCUCUCUGGGACGGUACUGACGCUGAGACGCGAAAGCGUGGGGAGCGAACAGG